rnacentral:rRNA from 1 species
GAUGAACGCUGACAGAAUGCUUAACACAUGCAAGUCGACUUGAAUUUGGGUUUUUAACUUAGGCUUGGGUGGCGGACGGGUGAGUAACGCGUAAAGAACUUGCCUCACAGCUAGGGACAACAUUUGGAAACGAAUGCUAAUACCUAAUAUUAUGAUAAUAGGGCAUCCUAUAAUUAUGAAAGCUAUAAGCGCUGUGAGAGAGCUUUGCGUCACAUUAGCUAGUUGGAGAGGUAACGGCUCACCAAGGCGAUGAUGGGUAGCCGGCCUGAGAGGGUGAUCGGCCACAAGGGGACUGAGGCACGGCCCUUACUCCUACGGGAGGCAGCAGUGGGGAAUAUUGGACAAUGGACCAAGAGUCUGAUCCAGCAAUUCUGUGUGCACGAUGAAGUUUUUCGGAAUGUAAAGUGCUUUCAGUUGGGAAGAAAGAAAUGACGGUACCAACAGAAGAAGUGACGGCUAAAUACGUG